CCUACGGGAGGCAGCAGUGAGGAAUAUUGGUCAAUGGACGAGAGUCUGAACCAGCCAAGUAGCGUGAAGGAUGACUGCCCUAUGGGUUGUAAACUUCUUUUAUAUGGGAAUAAAAUGUUCCACGUGUGGGAUUUUGUAUGUACCAUAUGAAUAAGGAUCGGCUAACUCCGUGCCAGCAGCCGCGGUAAUACGGAGGAUCCGAGCGUUAUCCGGAUUUAUUGGGUUUAAAGGGGGCGUAGGUGGAUUGUUAAGUCAGUUGUGAAAGUUUGGGGCUCAACCGUAAAAUUGCAGUUGAAACUGGCAGUCUUGAGUACAGUAGAGGUGGGCGGAAUUCGUGGUGUAGCGGUGAAAUGCUUAGAUAUCACGAAGAACUCCGAUUGCGAAGGCAGUUCACUGGACUGCAACUGACACUGAGGCUCGAAAGUGUGGGUAUCAAACAGGAUUAGAUACCCCUGUAGUC
rnacentral:rRNA from 1 species